rnacentral:rRNA from 1 species
CGGAGGGUGCAAGCGUUAUCCGGAUUCACUGGGUUUAAAGGGUGCGUAGGCGGGCAGGUAAGUCCGUGGUGAAAUCCCCGAGCUUAACUCGGGAACUGCCAUGGAUACUAUUUGUCUUGAAUAUUGUGGAGGUAAGCGGAAUAUGUCAUGUAGCGGUGAAAUGCUUAGAUAUGACAUAGAACACCAAUUGCGAAGGCAGCUUACUACACAGUUAUUGACGCUGAGGCACGAAAGCGUGGGGAUCAAACAGGAUUAGAUACCCUGGUAGUCCACGCCCUAAACGAUGAUUACUCGACAUCAGCGAUACACUGUUGGUGUCUGAGCGAAAGCAUUAAGUAAUCACCUGGGAAGUACGAUCGCAAGAUUG